rfam:Morus notabilis contig17232, whole genome shotgun sequence.
AUACUGUGUUGAGGACACUUACGGAGCAUCUCUUUGAACCGUUCCCACGCCUCACAUAAUUAUUCAUACUCAAACUGCUGAAAUUGAGUAAUCUCAGCCCUCAGUUG